rnacentral:rRNA from 1 species
GAUGAACGCUGGCGGCGUGCCUAAUACAUGCAAGUCGAGCGAACCACUUCGGUGGUGAGCGGCGAACGGGUGAGUAACACGUAGGUGAUCUGCCCAUCAGACGGGGACAACGAUUGGAAACGAUCACCAAUACCGGAUAGGACGAAAGUUUAAAGGUGCUUCUGGCACCGCUGAUGGAUGAGCCUGCGGCGCAUUAGCUAGUUGGUAGGGUAAAGGCCUACCAAGGCGACGAUGCGUAGCCGACCUGAGAGGGUGAACGGCCACACUGGGACUGAGACACGGCCCAGACCACUACGGGAGGCAGCAGUAGGGAAUAUUCGGCAAUGGGCGAAAGCCUGACUGAGCAACGCCGCGUGAAUGAUGAAGGCCUUCGGGUUGUAAAAUUCUGUUAUAAGGGAAGAACGACUUUAGUAGGAAAUGGCUAGAGUGUGACGGUACCUUAUGAGAAAGCCACGGCUAACUACGUGCCAGCCGCCGCUGUAA